CCUACGUGUGUCAGCAGUGGGGGAUAUUGCACAAUGGGGGAAACCCUGAUGCAGCGACGCCGCGUGAGUGAAGAAGUAUUUCGGUAUGUAAAGCUCUAUCAGCAGGGAAGAAAAUGACAUGUACUGACCAAGAAGCCCCGGACAACUACGUCCCAGCCGCCGCGGUAAUACGGAGGGGCAAAGGUUUAAGCGGAUUUAAGGGGUGGAAAGGGGGCGGAGAUGGUUAUGGAAGUCUGGAGGGAAAGCCCGGGGCCCAACCCCGGGACUGUUUUGGAAAAUGUAUAACGGGAGUACAGGAGGGGCAGGCGGAAUUCCUGGUGUAGCGGUGAAAUGCGUAGAUAUCAGGAGGAACACCAGCGGCGAAGGCGGCCUGCUGGACUGAAACUGACGUUGAGGCUCGAAAGCGUGGGGAGCAAACAGGAUUAGAUACCCUUGUAGUC
rnacentral:rRNA from 1 species